CUGCGUCUCUCUUCACAAGGUGGCCAUCAUCAUUCCAUUCCGCAACCGGCAGGAGCACCUCAAGUACUGGCUGUAUUACUUGCACCCCAUCCUGCAGCGCCAGCAGCUGGACUACGGCAUCUAUGUUAUCAACCAGGAUAUUGAAGGAAUGAGUGGGGAGAGGCUUUCCUGGUUGAGAUAGAGAAGAACCACGCCCUCCAGGUGCUCCACCGCCUCUUGGCUUCUCGCUUGGGAACUCCAGAGUCUCGCCUCGGCUUGCAAUGGACCCCAACUGCCCCUGCUCCGCUGGUGGCUCCUGCACGUGCACCGGCUCCUGCAAGUGCAAAGAGUGCAAAUGCACCUCCUGCAAGAAGAGCUGCUGCUCCUGCUGCCCCGUGGGCUGUGCCAAGUGUGCCCAGGGCUGCGCCUGCAAAGGGGCGUCGGAGAAGUGCAUCUGCUGUGCCUGAUGUGGGAAGAGCUCUGCUCCCAGAUGUAAAUAGAGCAACCUUCACAACCUGGAGGUUUUUUUACAUACAACCCCUAGCCAUUUGCUGCAUGUCUUUUCAUAUUAAAUAUGUGAAUGACAAUAAAAAAAUUUUGACUUGAAAAAAAAAAAAAAAAAAA